rnacentral:rRNA from 1 species
GGCCCCCCCUAAGUAACCGGCGAGUGAAGCGGCAACAGCUCAAAUUUGAAAUCUGGCUCCUUUGGUGCCCGAGUUGUAAUUUGCAGAGGGUGCUUUGGUGUUGGCUGUGGUCCAAGUUCCCUGGAACAGGACGUCACAGAGGGUGAGAACCCCGUACGUGGCCGCCAGUCUUCGCCGUGUAAAGCCCCUUCGACGAGUCGAGUUGUUUGGGAAUGCAGCUCUAAAUGGGAGGUAAAUUCCUUCUAAAGCUAAAUAUUGGCCAGAGACCGAUAGCGCACAAGUAGAGUGAUCGAAAGAUGAAAAGCACUUUGGAAAGAGAGUGAAAUAGCACGUGAAAUUGUUGAAAGGGAAGCGCUUGGAGCCAGACGUGCCCGUAGUUGCUCAGCCGGGGUUUUCCCCGGUGCACUCUUCUGCGGGCAGGCCAGCAUUAGUUUGGGCGGUUGGAUAAAGGCCUGCUAAACGUACCUCCCCUCGGGGUGGACUUACAGGGUAGGUGGCAUACGACCAGCCCGGACUGAGGACCGCGCAUCUGCUAGGAUGCUGGCGUAAUGGCUGUAAGCGGCCCGUCUUGAAACACGGACCAAGGAGUCUAACAUCUAUGCGAGUGUUUGGGUGUCAAGCCCGAGCGCGCAAUGAAAGUGAACGCAGGUGGGAGCCCCUCGGGGCGCACCAUCGACCGAUCCUGAUGUCUUCGGAAGGAUUUGAGUAAGAGCAUAGCUGUUGGGACCCGAAAGAUGGUGAACUAUGC